AUCACAAUCACUCACUCAACCUUCUUAAUCUCACAUCUCAAUUAUGACUUCUGAGUUCCUUCUCUGUGCUCUCUCUAAAACCCAACUUGCCUUAUCUCAGAUCUCAAACUUCCCAGACUGUCACUGCUUCCUGCUGCCUUCCCAGACCGUCAUUGCUUCCUUCAAAAAUUGAGCAGGUGAAGCCGUGACUGUGAAGAAGUGUGGUGGUGUGUCUGUGUGUGGAUUACAACAAAGUGAAGGCUCGAUUGCGUGAAGGGCAGAGGCUGAAGGCGGUGAAAGCUGAAGCCUGAAGCAAAGCUACGGAACUGUAGAAUGGCGGUGAAGUCUGAAACUCAUUUGACAUUUCUCCUACCUCAUACUCACAUCUCACCACUCAAGUGGGCACUUGGCAAUUUGUAAUUGGCUGGCUUAUGAUAUCGUAUGAUGCUUAUCCUAUCAUCUCUGACUCUUAGGUGAAUGUGAAUUGUAAUUUGUACAAGCACUAUUGGGCAUUGGCAUUUGGCAACUCAUCUUCAAUUUAUUGUGGAGAAUUGAAUUCUUGGAAUAAUUUCUUAUUUAUAAAUUAUUGCACCUUUAAUUUGAUUUAGUAUGGACCCUAGGCAUAAUGUUGAUCACCCUACCACUAUUGAUGAUGAGGAUUUAAUUAUUAAGGAAUCCAUAGGAUCUCCCUCUCCCCCUAAUGAAAUUUCAAAUGAAGGCACUUCUACUACUAGUAGUACUAAAGCCAAAAAAUUGU